GAUGAACGCUAGCUACAGGCUUAACACAUGCAAGUCGAGGGACCGGCGCACGGGUGAGUAACACGUAUCCACCCUGCCCUUUACUCGGGGAUCACCUUUCGAAAGCAAGAUUAAUACCCGAUAUCACGGAUGGGGAUGCGUUCCAUUAGGUUGUUGGUGAGGUACCGGCUCACCAAGCCUUCGAUGGAUAGGGGUUCUGAGAGGAAGGUCCCCCACAUUGGAACUGGGACACGGUCCAAACGCCUACGGGAGGCAGCAGUGAGGAAGAUUGGGCAAUGGGCGCUAGCCUGAACCAGCCAAGUAGCGUGAAGGAUGAAGGCUUAUGGGUCGUAAACUUCUGUUAUAUAAGAAUAGGUAUUAUAGGAAUAAGGAUCGGCUAACUCCGUGCCAGCAGCCGCGGUAAUAC
rnacentral:rRNA from 1 species